GACGAACGCUGGCGGCGUGCUUAACACAUGCAAGUCGAACGGAAAGGCCCUGCUUUUGUGGGGUGCUCGAGUGGCGAACGGGUGAGUAACACGUGAGUAACCUGCCCUUGACUUUGGGAUAACUUCAGGAAACUGGGGCUAAUACCGGAUAGGAGCUCCUGCUGCAUGGUGGGGGUUGGAAAGUUUCGGCGGUUGGGGAUGGACUCGCGGCUUAUCAGCUUGUUGGUGGGGUAGUGGCUUACCAAGGCUUUGACGGGUAGCCGACCUGAGAGGGUGACCGGCCACAUUGGGGCUGAGAUACGGCCCAGACUCCUACGGGAGGCAGCAGUGGGGAAUAUUGCACAAUGGGCGGAAGCCUGAUGCAGCAACGCCGCGUGCGGGAUGACGGCCUUCGGGUUGUAAACCGCUUUCGCCUGUGACGAAGCGUGAGUGACGGUAAUGGGUAAAGAAGCACCGGCUAACUACGUG
rnacentral:rRNA from 1 species